UACGGGGGGAGCAAGCGUUGUUCGGAUUUACUGGGCGUAAAGGGCGCGUAGGCGGCCACCGCAAGUCGACUGUGAAAUCUCCGGGCUUAACCCGGAAAGGUCAGCCGAUACUGCGGGGCUAGAGUGCAGAAGGGGCAACUGGAAUUCUCGGUGUAGCGGUGAAAUGCGUAGAUAUCGAGAGGAACACCUGCGGCGAAGGCGGCUCGCUGGGCCGAUGCUGACGCUGAGGCGCGAAAGCGUGGGGAGCAAACAGG
rnacentral:rRNA from 1 species